rnacentral:misc_RNA from 1 species
GAUGAAGAACGUAGCGAAAUGCGAUAAGUAGUGUGAAUUGCAGAAUUCAGUGAAUCAUCGAAUCUUUGAACGCACAUUGCGCCCCUUGGUAUUCCAUGGGGCAUGCCUGUUCGAGCGUCAUUUGUACCUUCAAGCUUUGCUUGGUGUUGGGUGUUUGUCCCGAGGGACUCGCCUUAAAGUAAUUGGCAGCCAGUGUUUGGUUUUGAAGCGCAGCACAAGUCGCGAUUCAAGGCUACACGCCCGCUUCCACAAGCCUUUUUUCACUUUUGACCUCGGAUCAGGUAGGGAUACCCGCUGAACUUAAGCAUAUCAAUAAGAGGAGGA